rnacentral:rRNA from 1 species
UACGUAGGGGGCAAGCGUUGUCCGGAUUUAUUGGGCGUAAAGAGCGUGUAGGCGGUUUGGUAGGUCCGCUGUGAAAACUCGAGGCUCAACUUCGAGACGCCGGUGGAAACCAUCAGACUAGAGUCCGGAAGAGGAGAGUGGAAUUCCUGGUGUAGCGGUGAAAUGCGCAGAUAUCAGGAAGAACACCCGUGGCUAAGGCGGCUCUCUAGUACGGUACUGACGCUGAGACGCGAAAGCGUGGGGAGCGAUCCGG